UGCUUUAAAGGCAGGUCAGCAGAAAAGGAGAUGAAUUCAGGAAUGUCACGUCCAUGGCCGGGGAGCUGCAGGGACCAGCAGUCACUGCUCAUGUCCAGGUGGACAUUCCGGGCCAUCUCUGGCUUGCCCAGGGUUUUCACCUUUUUUAGUGCAGGACCAUAAACUUAACAAACACCACGGGCCCCAUACAAAGUGCUGCUAGUGAUGCUGGAAAUACUCACAGGAAGCAGAGAAAAGUCAUGGAAAAGUUGAAUUGCUUUAUAUGUGCUAUAUAGAUCAAGGUCUGCAGCUGUGGUUGCCCACCAUUUCAAGCAAGACAAAGCUGUCCUCUUCCUCCUUGUCCUCAGCCUACUCAGUGUGACGAUGACAGGAUGAAGACCUUUAUGAUGACCCACCUCCACUUAAUGAAUAGUAAACAAUCGCUGUGCCAUAUGGAUACCAUACGAAAACCUAUCUGUUGUAUAUGUAUGUGUGUCGUUGUAUGAAAAUCUAAUAACUUCUACAAGAACUGUAUGAGAUGUUUUUGUGUCAUCAUGGUUCUCAUCACUGCCUAAGAAUUCAUGGUGUAGAACACUGUGCAAGACUUGUGUUGAAGUGGAUGGCAUAUCCUUUGAUAGGCAUAAGGUGAGUGACAGUUAAUAUAAAAUGAAUAAUGUGUUGAUUUUCUCACUGUUUCAUAACUUUGCUUUCAAAGACUCACAGUACUAUUCAAUAUGCCUCUCUGUUUCUUGUAAUUGAAGAAACUGCAUAUCAGACUAUCAUCCCAAGUGUUUUUGUAAAUCAAAGUACAGUUGAUUUAUAAUAGUAUAUUAGUUUCAGGUGUAUA